UCAUUGCACACACAUGAAUGUUGCAGUAAACCCCGGUUUAGGCGAACCAAAACAUUGUCCCCUCCAACUUGUCCCGGUCGGGCCUCUUCUUCUUCGGGAGCUCCUUUCCUUCCUUCGCGGGGGGGAGGGGGGCCGCGAACGGAGCAAGGGGUCCGCCCCCGGGAGUAACCACGUCGAUUGCGCAAUGCAUCAACACUUACUAUUGACUGAGUCCCGAAAUACUUUGUGGAGUUGGUGGUGUUCGCAUCGCCGACUCCCGAGUUGAAAUAACCAAAAACAACUCUCAGCAACGGAUAUCUUGGCUCUUGCAACGAUGAAGAACGCAGCGAAAUGCGAUACGUAGUGUGAAUUGCAGAAUUCCGCGAAUCAUCGAGUCUUUGAACGCAAGUUGCGCCCGAGGCUUGUCCGAGGGCAUUUCCGCUAGAGCGUCACCGCGCUCCCCCACCGACCCCCGCUACCAAGUGGUGAGGUCGAGUGGAAGUGGCCGUCCCGAUGGGAGGCGGCGGUGUUCUUCGCCGCCGUCGAUCGGGUCGGCUGAAAUGUAUGGAAUUCGGCCGUCGUGGCGACGGAGCCCGCGAUCAGGUGAUCCGAGCGAGAGCCCGGAACUCAAACGUGCGUGGCUGCGUCGCCCAGUUGGGUUGGGGAUGGAUAUACCACUAUGAAAGAGCUGGCGCGAGUUGGCUUCGGUAAUACGGGUACACCAUGCGAAACGAGUUCCACUUGGGAUGUGAAAGCAGGUCUGCGUGUUCGGAAGAAAUCCUUCGUAAAAAAAAGGUGAGGACACGCGCGUCACGCAUCAGA
rnacentral:sRNA from 1 species